GCAAGUCGAACGGAAACGAAGCUAGCUUGCUAGCAGGCGUCGAGUGGCGGACGGGUGAGUAACGCGUGGGAAUUUACCAAGUAGUGGGGGAUAAGCUGGGGAAACCCAGUCUAAUACCGCAUACGCUCUACGGAGGAAAGGGGGCCUCUUCUUGAAAGGUCUCGCUAUUAGAUGAGCCCGCGUCGGAUUAGCUUGUUGGUGAGGUAAAGGCUCACCAAGGCUACGAUCUGUAGCUGGUCUGAGAGGAUGAUC
rnacentral:rRNA from 1 species